rnacentral:rRNA from 1 species
GACGAACCGUACAAACGUUAUUCGGAAUUACUGGGCUUAAAGGGUGCGUAGGCGGCCCGGCAAGUUGGGUGUGAAAUCCCUCGGCUCAACCGAGGAACCGCGCCCAAAACUGCCGGGCUCGAGGGAGACAGAGGUGAGCGGAACUUAGGGUGGAGCGGUGAUAUGCGUUGAUAUCCUAAGGAACACCAGUAGCGAAGGCGGCUCACUGGGUCUCUUCUGACGCUGAGGCACGAAAGCUAGGGGAGCGAACGGGAUUAGGUACCCCAGUA